UGGAGCCACUUGCAAUGGAGGACAACGCUGCUGUUUCCUUCCUGCUACCGUGUGAGUUUGUAGGGGCUGACACCACUUUGUGCCAUCUCAGAGCUGGAAGAGCUAUGGGAACAGAGCAGACAUCACAAGCAGACAAAAAAGCGGCAGAAGCCAGCCCACUGAGAUGAAGACUACUCCCAGCUGAGAGAUCUACUUCAGCUGGCUUCAUUAUGACCUCUCUGUAAGGGGACUUGGUGGUGGAAACAAAGGCAAGAAUACAGGAACGGUGCAAUGCCAGAGCAAGCAAAGAGCUUAAGCAACACAAAUUUAAUUGCUUUAGCCUUCAGAAGACACUUCAUGAUCCUACAGGCCCAAUUCCUCUGCUUCAGCAGUCAGCAUCCUCCUCUGAAGAGCUGACGUCAGUCGGCAGCCUAGGACCUGCAAUUAUCAUCCCUCGCCAUUGAAGUGGAUGGCUGCUUAGUUACAGCACGACACACAUCUGAAAGGAUCUGGCUGACACCAGCUGCCCUCCUUCAAAAAGUUUCAAGUGGGAGGUGGACUGCAACAAAGCAAAACACAGUCUGACUGGGACAUCAUCGCUGCAAACCAUGCUACAGGAGAACUGGUAACUCUGCUUUGACAGGACCUUGCCUACGUGAGCAAACCCAGGGAGCAAGGCGGAAGGAUGUGAGGUGACAUGGAUUUUCCAGUACUGUGGGAACCAGGGCACUUACUAUCCAGAUCAGUCUGAACUGAAAUUAGUAAGACAGGAUGAGUCAUCCUUCCACAUCCUGUUGCACUUCAGAAGGUCAUUUAAUUAACAGCGCAGUGCCAGAAAGGUCGUGCAGAUGGGAUUACUGCAUGCUAAGUGCUUGCUGUGCAGGAAGCUCCAUUUGGGAACAAGCAGGCCUCAGUGCUCCUCUCCAGCAUGCCCGACCCCAUCAAGAAGUUGCUUCUGAGGAGACCACCUUGCUGAAAAUAAUCUGAGGUGCUUUUUUUUUUUUCCUCCUUUUUCUUGGCAGGUUAUUUUUAGCCUAGAUCCUUCUAGCGACCUCCUUCACAGCUCAGCCUGAUGGAGGCCUGCGCUGCCAAAAACAAAGUGGCAGCGAGCUGCAGCACAGAAGUGGGAACAGGGAAACAUUUAGCUGAACAGCCUCAUUUUCUGCACAGAGGUCCACAUCCUUCUCUUAGUCACAGGUCACUUCUGCUUAGAGAGAUCUGGCACAGUGAAAGACUCGGGGAAGAUGACAACCAGGUUGUGUUAAUUCAGGUGUUCAGGCUGCUCUUCUGAAUCAGAGAUGGGCACAUGACUAAGCUUCCCUGGAUGAUUUAUGCUGUCUCAAAGGGUAUUUUGUGGAGACAUGACAUAUAAUAGACUAGGAGGAAGUUGAGCGCAGUGUUUUGAGAAGAGAUCUCCUGCGUUACAAUUUGUGUUGUGCUUAAGCACUGCUAAGGCAUCUGAAAAUAAUUCAGGGAGUUGGGGAACUGCUGUGUCUGUCAGUUCCUGAAGAGUUGAGUCAUGUAUCAGAUCCAAUCUCUAACCCGUAUCAACAGCCUAAGCAGACGAAUUAGGCCAAGCUGAUACCAAGCAGUUCCUGACAGGGCAUCCAACUUGAAGACAACGUGCUCACAAAAGCAGAGACAUCAGCGCAGUUGCUUACUCCUGUAUUUCUUGCAGAGAUCCCACUGCAGCACAGCCUCUUUUCAGGCUGCAUUACACACAACCAGGCUACAAAGGGACCAGAGAGACCAAGCAGCUUGCAGUGAUGCGCAGUGUCAUCUGGUCACAGAGGCAGCAGUCAGGCAGAAGGCCAUCCCUGAAGGCCUGCGCUGUCUUCCUCAAUUUACCCCAGCCACUCACCAGGCCCCAGAUGUCUGGGAGCUUUAUGGCUUGCUAUAGCCUUGCAAGUGAGCUGAAGGGCAUACAGGAGUCUGAUCUGUUCAGCAAGGGAGAGUUAGCUCCCCGGUCACAGAGUAGUUUAUCAGGCCAAUGGCUAAGCUUGUCAAUAGGUGACAAGUGAGAGAAAGAAUACGCAGGACUCUCCAGAGCUGCUUUCAGGAGACCAGCAAGACUUAUCACACAGCUGCUGUUAUAUCAGGGGGAAAAAAAAACAAAAACUACAGAAGAUUUAAAAAUGGGAACUGCUUUCUCUUUCUGUAAUACUUCUGUUUCACCCCAGAACUUGCUACACUGCACUAUGACUGAACUCUGGAUGCGCUUUUAUUCCAUUUCUCAGUGCCUGGAAAAUUGCUCCCAAUGUGCUCAGCAAGCACAGGCACAAGCGGUUGACUGCAAAUCCAAGUAAUAAGACAAGACGCUCAAUUUCUCAUGGCAAUACCCUUCAGAUGGAAAUAGUCAGUAUCUUUGUAUGCCCCAAUACAACCAGUGCAAUAUCUACAGCAUGUCCAUGGAUACCAGCAUAAUAGUUUGUGGGGUCAAGUUAACCAGCAAGGAGCCCUGAAGACCAACUGGUGAUGCCUGCUUGCACGUGGCCUGUUCACCUCAGCAGCAGCCUCCUGUUAAGAGAAUGAAACUGGAUAGGAAUGGCUGAGCCAUUAGAUCUGUGAGGGCCAGAGGGUGCCCUGUGGUUGCAGUAUUCCAGGUUCAUCCAUACCUCUUCAAGUCAAAACACCUUCCAAGUAUUGCCCCAUUCCUUCAGGUUUUCAAAUUUUAGAACUUUUCAUCUUGUGUCGCUCGAGUUCACCAAAAAGCUAAAAUUGCUUUAAUUGUUCAUUUGCUAUUCCCCCAGCACCCAGUUAUCCUUACAGCCUUCUCCAUUUACAUUCUUAUUCUAAUCACUUUUUUUUAUCCUUCCAGCUUCAGCAUGUUUUGCAGUUUUAAAAUCACUUCUUUUUAUUGGAUCAGUAUCUUCCUGUUCUAUAUUUGUGCUUGCAAACACAGACACCUGCGUACACACCCACACUCUGAUUCAAUCUUUGUUUCGUUUUCUUGGUUCAUUUCACACUUUCAUUUGUCUCUCACCCUUCUUCAGUCCAAUUUCAUGUAUUCUCUUUAUUGCUGGAGACUUAAUUUUGUUGCUCAUUUCGUAUCUGACUCCUAUCUGCCUAUACUCUCCCAUCUUUCAAAGGCUUGUUUAUCUCUACACAUUUCACUUUAUUCUUUGUCCCUCUGUGAUGCAAGCAGAGAGAAUUCAAUUCAUUUUCUCCCCUCGUCUGUACUGUUUCAUGUUCCCGAGGACACACAACACUGAUGUCUCUUCUUGCUAGAAGAAGCACAGAACAUCCUGUCCUAACAACACAUUAGGCAUUUCAUGAAAGCAAUUGUUUUGUUGUUAUCUGCACUGAUUUAUCACUGUGCCUUUAUGUGAUGCUCAGAACUAGGAUGUAGAAAGACGGGACAUCAACUUGUGAUACUUGCAGAAGAGCUGCAUUUAUUUUUGGUAGUUUGUCUGGGACAUAAGAGCAGUUGAUAUUAAAAUGGCCCAUUCACUUGGAUUUGCCAUUCAGCUGGCUAGCAGCUGUAGACUACUUUUUGCAGACUUACUGAACUAUUUUAGUUCAAUUACCUGUUCCCCUGACUCGGACUGCAGGUUAAGUCUGAGCUCCCUUUUAUGUAGUACGUGCAAAUGAUCCUCAUUGCUUGCACUCAUCCUGACCCGAACAGCAUGCAGCUUUUAGCAGGAAAUCAUUUUAGUUACUCUGAGGUAUAAACUUGUAUACUUCUGCCUGACAGAUUUUCAGGCUAAUUUAGUUACCAUCUUGCUUUUAUAACCCCAAGUUUUAUUUUAUGCUUACCACCUGCCUUUGGCGACAGGAGCUACCUGCAGGUUGAUUUACCAGCUUAAAGAUUAGUUUGUUACAGGGGAAGCACAGGCAUCUAAUGACAAUUUCCCAAUCAUCACAAUAUGCUGGCAAUGUAAAUCUUUAAAAAGGGAGAGGGAAGGCCAGCAGGAGGUUUGUUUAUCAUCCUUAAAGGCUCAAGUGAGAUAAACCUUUUCUCAAACUGCAGGAGUAGCUCCAAGUACGGCUAAGGGGAGAUCUGGGAGCAAAGCUGCAAUAACAUCUGAGUGCUGCCAGGAACAGGGUCUGCUCUUUGUUGCUGGAUGGCCAUACCAAAGACAAACAAUACUUGUGCACAGAUGCAUGUUAUGUUUAAAUUAUUCACCGUGUUCUCAUUUCACUAAAUAAGGGCAUUCAAGCUGACAUCUCAGAAUUGCUGGCACCCAGACUCAAAGUAGCCUUAUCUACAGAUUUUUUGAAUAAACGUUUUCUCUCUAACCUCAAUGAUUGCCCUUCUGGUUAAUUUCAAACUUCAGGAAGAUGAGAAGAGAGCAGAGAGUACAUUAGUGAUAAAAGUGGGGCUGAAAAAUAUAGGUGUGUAAUUUUGAAUUGUGAAAAAGUCUUCAUGAUGUUCCAGAAUGCAUGGACAAUGAAGGAAACCCAAAACUGAUUUGGAAAUAUUGAUAUGACAAUAUUAAUUUUGAGCUCCCACAAACAGCUUCCAUUAAAGACUAUUUCCCAUAAUGAGCUGCAAGUCUACUAUUAGGAAAAACAAAAAACUAAAUGACCAUAGAAAACCACAACUAGAUAGUGGGCUUUCCCUGAGAGAUGAAGUAUCAAGUCCAAAGUAUCUCUUUUGUUCCUGAUUGCUGCCUAGGAACCUGAAGCAUCCACUCCAGGUGGAUGCCAAGAAGUGAACAUCUCACCUGUGCAGGUAAAUCAUUAAAAUUAUGUUUAAUGGAUGUGUGAUGUAGAGAAUGAUGUCCCCUACUUCUGUUUUGCACUGCCAGAUUGAAAGCACUAUAAUUAGAUUAUAUAUGCUGGCAAGUAACGACUGUAUUGGAAAUUGGUGAGGAUAAACAGAGCCUUUACCUCACCAAGACCUACCAGGAGGUACCAUGGGCUUGACAAACACUGCAUAUGCUGUAAGGAGCACGUGCUAUGCACACAAGCUUUAUUUUGCAAUUCCAUCUCCGUACCAAACACUUGAA